rnacentral:rRNA from 1 species
UACAGAGGGUGCGAGCGUUAAUCGGAAUUACUGGGCGUAAAGCGCACGUAGGUGGCGACGUAAGUCGGGUGUGAAAGCCCCGGGCUCAACCUGGGAAUUGCAUUCGAGACUGCAUUGCUGGAGUACGGAAGAGGAGGGCGGAAUUCCCGGUGUAGCGGUGGAAUGCGUAGAGAUCGGGAAGAACAUCAGUGGCGAAGGCGGCCUGCUGGGCUGUUGCUGACGCUGAGGCGCGACAGCGUGGGGAGCAAACAGG